rnacentral:rRNA from 1 species
CCAAGGAGUCUAACAUGUGCGCGAGUCACUCGGUCUUGAAUAGGCCAGAGAGGCGCAAUGAAAGUAAAGUUGAUUGAGUUACGAUCCUUAGUUAGCCCGCAAGGGCGCUGAGGCGCAGUAACAGCCCGCCAAUUUCGCUUAUUGACGAUCUGGCGGAGUUGUAGCGUACACGUUGGUACCCGAAAGAUGGUGAACUAUGCCUGGGCAAGACGAAGCCAGAGGAAACUCUGGUGGAGGUCUGUAGCGAUUCUGACGUGCAAAUCGAUCGUCAGACCUGGGUAUAGGGGCGAAACACUAAUCGAACCAUC